rnacentral:rRNA from 1 species
CCUACGGGAGGCUGCAGUGGGGAAUCUUGGACAAUGGGCGCAAGCCUGACCCAGCAACGCCGCGUGAAGGAAGAAGGCUUUCGGGUUGUAAACCUCUUUUCUCAGGGACGAAAAUAGUGAUGGUAGCUGAGGAAUAAGCCGCGGCUAACUACGCGGCAGCAGCCGUGGUAAUACGUAGGUGGCAGGCGUUGUUCGUAGUUAGUGGGUGUAGAGGGCGCGUAGGCGGGUGUGCAAGUCGGAUGUGAAAGCCACGGGCUCAACCCGUGGCCUGCAUUAGAUACUGUAGUGCUUGAGUACUGGAGGGGCAGGCGGAAUUCCUAGUGUAGCGGUGAAAUGCGUAGAUAUUAGGAGGAACACCAGUGGCGAAGGCGGUUUGCUGGACAGUAACUGACGCUGAGGCGCGAAAGCGGGGGGAGCAAACAGGAUUAGAUACCCGAGUAGUC